UACCUUUCAUGCAUAUUUAUACCUGUGUUCUCCUUGUGUCAGAUUGCCAGUUUGUUCCGUGCCUCAGUGUCAUUUGUUCUAGCAUUCUUCCCAGCGUUCCCUGCUUGCCUUUUUGACUUUCCCUUUCUGUUUGUUUGCCUUUACUGACUGCUCCCCUGUGUUGUCGAACCCCUGCCUGUUUAACAAAGACUGAUUUUGAAGCCAACUUUCUGAUGGGGACAAGAAGGGGAAGACCUGCAGGCCAGAUUUGAAACCAAGUCAUUGCCAUGAAGGGAUUUCAAUCUUCUGCACAUGGGAUGAGUAUAAUAACCACUCGGCCAAGCAUCAACCCACCAUGACCAUCUUUUAAGAGCAAAAACUGUCAACAACGACUAUACAAACUGCGGUAGAGGACAGCAGGAGUUUGAGGGCUUCACUCGGAGACACCAGCAUGGACUCUCCAGAUUAUGUCACUGCAGCAAUGAGGAGAGGAAGCUAUGAUGAUGCUGCAGCCUCUCUGCGCCCUCACCUCAGACAUCUGGCUCAGAGGCGACGAUCUGCCCCGUCGCUGGUCUUUGGGAAGGCUUUGGGGAUGCCGUGGUCUCCUAUCAGGUGUGUACCUCACUGUUUUAAAUCUUCUUCAAUAGUAAUAGCAUGAACAUAUUUGUCAGUUUGGCGGCACGGUGGUGCAGUGGUUAGCACUGUCUCCUCAC